CUCUAUAAAAGAAAAACUUGAUGGAAAAAUUUUGAUUCGAUUAGAGAACCAAUUAGUUGAUUUGAUGGAAAAAUUGUUGUCAAGUUUUAUAAAAGUUGAGCAUGAGUUCCAUUAAUUUAUGCACCCACUUGAGGAGGACUGUAAAAGAUUGAAAUUGAUUUUGUAAAUAUGCUUGUGUGAUUUUUUCUUAUUACAACUUGAUUGAUUAGGGAAAUUGUUGAUUGUAAAUUAAUUGUAUUGAUUGUAUUUUAGAAGUGCUAUACUUGUAUAAUGAAUGUAAAACAUGCAAUGAAAUAUAAACAAAUAAAAAAUUAUUCCUCAACUUAAUAUAUUUUGAGCAACCAUCUUGGAGCUAGUCCCUGCUAAGGGAACCCUUAGCCAACACAAAAUUUGACAGAUUGACCAAUCAGUUGCUGAUUGGCAGUUGAAGCUAGAGUUUUAACAAUUAAAUGGAUUGCAUUGAAUUUUGAGGACUUUAAAAUCUAGAAAGGUUGGUCUGUCUAACAAUUUUUCUGAGACUUUCCCUACCUUAGAACGUUUGGUUGCCAUUCACCUCCUCAGCCGGUUCCCCCGACACAACUUCUCGCAAAUCUACUGGUCAAUCCAAUGCAAAAGCUCCUCCUGCUUUGUUUUUUCAAACCCUUAACGGACACUUGUCCUUCACCUCUUCUUCAACAACUCUAAACUUGUGGGGUAUUAAAAGAAAAGAAAUAUUUUCACUUCUGCAUACUUAGAAUUUCGUUCUUCUCCUCUUUUCAUUUCUUCCUCCCUCUAUACACAUAACUCUUUCUGCACUUCAAGAUUGCAAUGCUAGAUUUUCAUGACCCCGUUUUAUUAUUGUUUGCAUAAUAUUUCAUUACAUUUUCUGAAGAAGGCUUCAAGUUUGUCAGAUGGUUAUGCUAUUCCAUGCACAGGUUUUGCUGCCAACUGGGAUACAAGAGGAGGUUAAUUUUCCUUCUGUAUCCCAAAACAUGCAACACUCUUCAUUAAGAUAAGGCAGUUUAACAAAAUCUACAUACAACCAUGGAGCUUGAUUCCCCGAAAACAUCAAUGGCGAUUCUGUUUUCUGUUGAAGAUUGCGGUUGGGCGCUGUGGAAUUUGUCAGUCUGCAACUAUGCUAAUACAGUGAGUUGUUUUAUUUUCAUCCAAGUUAUCUAUUAAUUUCACAUACAUGAUCCAUGGUGGCAUGUGAUUAGAAAUAAAAGUGCUUACAUUUGAGUUGAAGAUUAUGUAGUAGAAGAGAAUUAUGGACUAGAAAUUGUUUUGGAAAUUUAAUAUACAUGUUAAAUUCUUAGAUA